CCUACGGGAGGCAGCAGUGGGGAAUAUUGGACAAUGGGCGGAAGCCUGAUCCAGCCAUGCCGCGUGUGUGAAGAAGGCCUUUUGGUUGUAAAGCACUUUAAGCGAGGAGGAGGCUACUAGUAUUAAUACUACUGGAUAGUGGACGUUACUCGCAGAAUAAGCACCGGCUAACUCUGUGCCAGCAGCCGCGGUAAUACAGAGGGUGCGAGCGUUAAUCGGAUUUACUGGGCGUAAAGCGUGCGUAGGCGGCUGAUUAAGUCGGAUGUGAAAUCCCUGAGCUUAACUUAGGAAUUGCAUUCGAUACUGGUCAGCUAGAGUAUGGGAGAGGAUGGUAGAAUUCCAGGUGUAGCGGUGAAAUGCGUAGAGAUCUGGAGGAAUACCGAUGGCGAAGGCAGCCAUCUGGCCUAAAUACUGACGCUGAGUACGAAGACAUGGAGACAACAGAGUAGUAUACCUACGUAGUCAUGCGUAACGACGUCUACUA
rnacentral:rRNA from 1 species